UUUUGAGAUAUGUUUGUCGCUGGAACAGAGAGAUUUCUCUGAACAAUUUUUCCUGCACUCUUUAGGCCUUGCUUGCCAUGGAAGUGACAAGCAUGUAUUGU